GCCAUUUCCGUCAUUCCAGCCUGCGGUGUCACUCAACAAAAAUUGUGUACUAAGCAGUUACUCCAAACAUGUCAUUCACAACCGCGUAGGGUAGGUGUAAACACCCUUGCUUUGCACGUUCGAAGUAUACAUUAACGUACGCCUGGAUAAUGAUAACUUUUAAACUGACAACAUAUGAAUGUCACAUGCACCGAACAUAACGAGCGUGCAAGUGAAGUUAUAUUUAGACUCAAGCUAAUGCUAGCAGUAGCAGGCUAGCAUCUAGCAGACUAUUAUCCAUAACAAUGCAGGUACUGGUAGCUAGCUAAGAAUAUUCCAUAACUUGCACAUUUUCUUUGCAAUAAGGUAGGUAACGAAAGCUUAUUUACAACGGUUUAUUUAGCUAGCUCUUUUAGCGAGCAUACAUUCACAGUGUAACACCAAAGUCGCUCAAUGUUUUUGUUGAAGAAACAGAAGGCAGUGAAGCAACAGCAGUUGUUAGCUACCUAGCUACUUAAUUACUAGUUAAGCUUAACAGCUACUACUAGCUAGGUAGCUAACACGUCUACGAAGAAGAUAACUUGAUAUAAAUGUAUUUCAUUUGUCCGUCUGGAUUGUGCUUGUAAUUUAUGCCUGGAAAACUAUGUAGUCUUAGUUAUCUACAGUAGGUAACGUUAGCUAACGUUAAAGCAAAUGUUCAAGUCUGCAAACGUUAACUAGUUAACGUAGUUAAGUCACGUCUCACAAUGGCUAACUAGCUCUCCACUUGUGACAUGCUAUAUUUCACUUACAAAGUUCCCUCACAUACCGCUAUCUCAUGCUGUAGCUAAAUCCGUAUUAACAGUGUGAAAAUGCGUUCUUGUUGCAUGUGUCAAUACUGACUACACAGGAAAUCGUUGUUUGUGCAUGGACCAGGUGAAUAUUUGUGGCACUCAUUUUAAUUUCAUGUGUUUUCCAGCUACUGAAAAUUCAUAUGUCUCAUUUGAAGCAUAGCCUUUGAUAUUUAGCUAGAUAUUGGUGCAGGAAGCUCUGAUGUUCAGCCAUGGAUGAAGAAGACAACCAGGAUGAGCUGAUCAACCGGAAUGCCUCCCACAGAAAAGAAAAAAGGCCUGCAGUAUGGGCAAUCUCAGAUGAAGACAGCGAUGAAGGUGGGGAGGAAUCUGAGGGACCUUCUGACAGUGGUGAGGAGGAGGAGGAAGACCACCUCGAUGGAGAGGAAGACGAGGAGGAGGAGGAGGAAGAGGAGGAUGACAGUGAUGAUGGAGAAGAGGACGAUGUGGUGGAGGGUGCGGUGGGGGGAGCGUCUGCUGACUUGGCAGGUCUGAGCUCAGACGAGGACAUUGAGAAAUGCCCCAUCUGCCUAAACUCCUUCCACAGCCAGCCCGUGGCCACGCCAGAGAGCUGCGAACACUACUUCUGCCUCGACUGCAUCCUUGAGUGGUCCAAGAAUGCAAACUCCUGUCCUGUGGACAGAAUAGUCUUCAAUAACAUCUACCUGAGAAAAUGUUAUGGUGGGAAAGUGCAGAAAAUGAUCACAGUGCAGAAACCAGUGAAGGACGGCCAGGAGGAGGUGAUAGACCUGGAGCUGGAACAGACCAGCUGCGAGGUGUGUGGAGGGAGUGACCGUGAAGACCGCCUGCUGCUCUGUGACGGCUGUGAUGCUGGGUACCACAUGGAGUGCCUGACCCCCCCGCUGGAUGCUGUCCCUGUGGAGGAAUGGUUCUGCCCAGAGUGUCAAGCCAACAACCGCCGUUCAAGGGGUUCAGUGGAAGAGCAGAGCAACACGGAGAGUCUGAGCAGCGCCCGUCCCACAACCAGCCACUCCCACCUCCCCUGCGGCAGGCCCCACCCGGGCCAUUGCCCGCACCCAGCAGAGUGAGAGGGUCCGCGCCAGUGUCAACCACCACCGCAUCACCCAGGCACGCAUUGCACAGAUCUCCCCCAGCUUUCUGAUGCCACAGACCACCUGGCUGGAUGAGACUAUCAACGCAGUGGUGGCUGGACUCAACACAGCUGUGUACAUACGGAACCUCACACCCCGCGUUCCAUCCAGUCGACGACGCAGGACAGUAAAGCGCAGGAAAGGCCAGAGUAAGAGGUCAUCGUCUGCCACGGGUGGUAAGGGCAAAGCUGCAGGCACCGGGGUGAAGAGGAGGAAACGGCGAGUGAGGAGGACCAAGUCCAGAAGGAAACUGGUGGUGAAAAAGGAAGCUACGUCACGUGGUCGUAUAGCCCGUAGCCUAGGGAUAGGGAAGCCCAAACGGGGCUCGUCCCUUCCCUCUGUGUACCGGCCUUCAGAAACCACUCUGGGCAGUAUGAGGGCUGACAUAGGAGCUGCUUCGCUCUCUGUCUAUGGAGUCCCCUACGAUCUGGACCCCUUCACUAGCAGGGAUGAUGAUGGUGAGGAGGUGCAAGCCUCGGCCACGUCAUCACUGCUGGAGGCCAAGAGGCGUGGCUUAUCUCGCUCCGCACUCCUCUCGCACCAGCCUGUGGCUCGACCAAUCACUGCUGGCCUCUCUAGCUGGGGUCCGAGCCUUCCCCAGUUGGAGGAGGUGGCAGAGGUGGCCCCAGUGCCUGACCUGCUGGGCAGCAUCCUAUCACGACAGAGCAUGCUUCUGAUGGACAGCUCAGACGUAGUUAUUAACAGAGAUGGAUCCCUCAAGGCUAACAAACCAGUGGGUUUGUCGUCAUCCAUGCCCGGCAGCAGUAGGAGCAGCAGCUCUGGUGAAUCAGUAGCCCAGCUCCACUCAGGGAUGUCCCCUACCACAGCAGCCAGCUCCCUUUGUCUCCCCAUUAACGGAGACCUGGUAGCAGGACCCUGCCUGUCCCCUCUCACCCCUUCAUCCCCCUGCCCGGCCACUUAUCCACCUCCGAUCCUGAGUCACCCACACCCCCACGUCCCUGCCCCCUGUAGACCCAGCCCUAGUCCUGGACACAGCCUCUGGGAGGACACCGGUGUACUACCCCCCCAUGGGACCCAGAGGGCUGCCACCUCCACUCCUACCCCAGACUCUCACUCCAGAGGUAGGGAGACGGUGCCACCACAGCCCCAGGCUAAGAAGGCCGCUGCUAAACCAGUAUGGGAAGCACCAGUAUCGGUGCUUCCCAGGAUACCAAGGAUAAAACGGGAGAGCGGUGGCCUGACGAAUGGCAACGCCAGCAGAGGGGGUAGUAGUGGUAGUAGUAGUAGUAGUAGCAGUGCUAAUGGUAGUGGUAGUAAUAGCUUCCCUGAUGCCUGUGUGAACAGCCUGGGUGGGAACAGGGGCAGGCAGCAAAGUGUGGACCAGCAGCAGGGCAGGACAGAGGGACAGAGACCGGACAGAGCAGGCCCUUCCUCAGCCUUCUCCAGCUCCUUCUCCUCUUCGUUUCUCCUCUUCUGAUUCUCCAUCUAACCCUGCCCGCCCCUCUUCAUCAGCAUCAUCCACAGUGUGCUUCCGGAUCAACCCCAGCUCUGUCUGGCACGCCCGAAAGCUUAGCAAUGCUUCUGCAAUUGUUGCCGCUGGCAACUGUCUAGAACCAGCGUCUGCGGAGGAAGAGGAGGCAAAGAGGAAAAGAGAGGAGCGCAGGAACAAACAGAAUCCCCUGACGUCCUCACACACACCGGUCAAAGAGGAGAAGGAAGAGGGGGAUAUAUACGACCCCUUCCACCCAACUGGCUCAGACAGCGAAGCAGAGAGCCAUGCUGGGGGGAAACCAACCAUGGUGCACAAGGAAAGUGCCAGCCAGCAGGUGAAGGAAGGUGCCAGCCAGCAGGUGAAGGAAGGUGCCAGCCAGCAGGUGAAGGAAGGUGCCAGCCAGCAGGUGAAGGAAGGUGCCAGCCAGCAGGUGAAGGAAGGUGCCAGCCAGCAGGUGAAGGAAGGUGCCAGCCAGCAGGUGAAGGAAGGUGCCAGCCAGCAGGUGAAGGAAGGUGCCAGCCAGCAGGUGAAGGAAGGUGCCAGCCAGCAGGUGAAGGAAGGUGCCAGCCAGCAGGUGAGUGGAAGGUGCCAGCCACCAGGUGAAAGAGAAGGUCUGGAGGUGAAGAGGGAGCCAGAGAACUCUGACACUGCAAAGCCUGGUCACAGCCCUCACAACACACCCAGGUCUGUGAUGACUGGCAUCAGCACACCUCUGUCCCAGAGCCAGGUCCAUCUGAAGAGGGAGAGGAACGAGCCAGGGGGUGAGAAAGGGCAGCACAGCCAGACUGGCAACAGUAGAGAGCCCCAGAACCAGCAGACUACUUCUUCCUCAUCCAGCUUAGCCUCCAGCCACCACAGAAACAGGAUGGUGAAGACUGAGAUAAAGUCAGAGCCCCAGGACUGCCCCCCCAGGUCCCCAUCCAGGUCUAAAUCACACUCCAGGCCCUCAGGCCAGGGGAGCAAAACAUCCAAAGGCAGGGGGUCUUCCACGGAGCGGCGGUCUGCCUCAAACAGCCCGGAGGCAGGCAGGAGGAGGAGAGACAAGGCCCCGGACCAGGCAGGGAGGAAGAGACGUUAUGAGGGGGGUAGGAGAGGAGACAAGGGGGGAGAGAGGAGUUCUAGGCGUUCGGGAUCGAGGGAGAGGAGAAGGACUCGUUCCCCGUCAGACAGCUCUACCUCUGAUAUCUCUGAGAGGUCUCGCAGGAAGAAGAGACGGCCACGUUCUCCCUCCAAAGACAGGAGGCGCUCCAGGUCAUGGUCAGGCUCCAGCAGCAGAGAGCGGUCCAAGAGGAAAAAGCAGAAGAGAGGGAGCAGGGAGAGAAACGAGGGCAGAGGGAGUGAAGGAGAGAAGGGUCGCCCGUCAAAGGACAAGAAGCGUGAUUGCUCGCAUUCUCGCUCGCGUUCCAGGUCCAGGGAGAGGAGGAAAGACCACUUACGAUCACAACCAUCAUCCUCCAAAUCAAAGGACAGGGUUGAGGUGCGGUCGAAAGAUAGGAAGAGGCCGAAGUCCAGGUCGCGGUCCAGAGAAAGGAGGAAAGAAGAGGGGUCACAGAGACCACCAAGGUCUUCCUCAACCACCACCUUCAGUAAGCUAGAAGAACAGAAAGAGAAGAAAAAGGUAAAAGUUCUCCCCCGUGUCCCUCUGAAAGAGGAGAGUGAGAGAAAAGAGCGAGAGAUCAAACAGCAGAUGCUUUCCUCAGGACUCAAAUCUCUCUCUGUCCUCUCUGUCUCAGAGGUGAAAAAGGAGAGUGACAGCAAUGACAUUAAAACAGAGAGACUCGCGUCUCUCUCAACAAAACUACUCAAGGAGUCUAAGCUGCUCAAAGAGAUAAAAAAAGAGAAACCUGCCUUUGAUAUGUUGGAAGAAUCACUGGAUAGUAAACCAAUCAAAAAAGAAAAACCUCUGUCAAUGUUCAGCACAGUCAAGGACUUACAACAGCACAAGGAGAUCGAAAAAGAACACUCUUCCGCCCUCAUAAAGGAGGCGUGCACCGUCUCCACAUCAGACAUAGCAGAUCAGAAAGAUCAGGCGUUACAGGAAACCGUCAAGACUGAGCCCAUCUGGCCUGAGCCGCCUCAACAUCUAACCUCCAACAUCCAAACUGGCCAAUCUAGCCCAAGCUUCUCAACACUCAGCACACACCUUGUCCCUGCUCCUCCUCAGGCUGCUGAGAGUAUAGCCAGCCAGCAGGGGACCCCAUCCCUGAUUCCUCCAGUACCAGAGGCCCUCACAGAGACUCCUCCACUAGUCCAACCCAUCUCAGUGAACCCAGAGAAGCACGAGGUAGAGGAGCCUUCAGAUGAUGACAUGGAUGUGGACAUGAUGCUGGACAGCCUGGACUAUGUGAAGACUGAGCCAGGAGGAGAGAGUGGGGAGGCUGGGGUCAAACAGGAGAAGGAAGGAGAGGGGGAGGAGGGGAAGACUGAGGGAGAACCGGUGCCAGUCAUGGCAGGUGCCAAGGCCAAACCCUCGGUGAAGAGGGUCACCUGGAACCUGCAGGAGCCAGAGGGGCCACAGCCAGAGAAGACUGGCACUAAGUUGGCCCUCUACAAACUGAAGCUGAAACAGGAGGGAGCUCGCAGACCUGCCUCUUCCGCCCAGGCAUCCAGUCAGGAGGCUCCCUUGGGGGCUACGUCACUCACUGACCCCAAGGUCCAGAGCACCAAGAGGGGCAGUGUGUCCAUAACGCUACCUAGUCCCACCUCCAGCAGCCUAACCACCACGCUGUCUAAACCUGGGCAGGGGGAACCCAACGAAGACCUGGGAGAGGAUGAUGUUUCUAGGAACAAUAAGUACAUAAAGAAGCUCCACAUGCAGGAGAGAGCCAUAGAGGAGGUGAAGCUGGCUAUCAAGCCGUUCUACCAGAAGAGAGACAUCACUAAGGAUGAAUACAAGGAUAUCGUACGCAAGGCUGUCCAGAAGGUCUGCCAUAGUAAGAGCGGGCGAUCAACCCAGUAAAAGUGGCCAACCUGGUCAAAGCCUACGUGGACAAAUACAAACAUGCCAGGAAACAUAGGAAAGUAGAGGAUGGAGGGAAGACACAGGAGGCAGAAACAGAUAGAACAAAUGACCCAGAGACUCCAUGAGGACCCCGCAUUCAUCCACACGCCCUGGAGACUCAGCCAUUUUCACACUAAUUUGAUCAUUUCUGUUAUCAAAUUGUCACAGGUUGUUAGAGGACUCAAGGACUUUGAGAAAUACUGCCUCCAGAUUGGCUAUUUUCUUCAUUGUUUUUGGGGAUUAUAAAGUUGUUACGUUCUGUUCAUAGUAAUUCACCAUCUCACAAAAUAAUGGAAGAGCCUUUUCGUUGAAAGAUGUGGAAAUAACUUAGUGGACCCAAUGUGAUCUUGCACUUCGAUUACCACCGACUGACAAGCAUCUGUUUUUGAAUUGGAUUUGUUUCACGCUUCACACAAGGCCAGACCAUGUCCAUACACUUUGUUUUCAUGGUCUAGCAUGGUCCUACUCUUGGAGAGGUUACCACAGAGAUUCUGUCUUAAACAGACAGCUCUGUCAGAUAGCUUUUCCAUCAAGAGAGGUUGAGGAAUAAUGUGAAUGAGCUAUUUCUACAGGCAAAAUGUCUGAGAAGAAGCAGUGCUGACUUUUUUUUUUAAAUGGUGUCUUUUGUAUGGGAGAGGGGUGUUUAUCUGUGGCAUGAGUCCUAAUUUUGUGGUGUCAAAGUCUAAUGCUGUCAUUGAAAUAUUAGAAGAAGAAAAUAAUGCCCCAGCGCAGAAAAAUACAUGUAUGCAAUUUUGUAGAGUAGGAAAGUUAUUUCUGAUUUUAGAUUUGGUGUAAAUAUAGAUUUUGGAUUCGCUAUGUACGCCCUUCCAGUUCAAUUAGCUGCCUACUGGGUAUUCACAAAUGUAUACUGUGAAUGCUUCUGGAGGAAGUUUGUUGUUUUUGUGAAUGUCUCUGUGCUAUGGGAUGUGGGUCCGAUGGAGUGCUGGUUGGCCAAACGGUACAGUUAGGCUCUUAAGUUGACCAGUUUCUCACAGCAGGAAAAUAGACUUGUAGCAACAGGAAAUUUGAAUUAUUGUGUGGAUUAUAACUAAAUACCAUUUUUAUAGGGGUUGAUACAUUUUUAGUUGGGGCAAAUCAAGCCUGAAAUUUUAAAGUGGAAAUAUCAAACUUUAGAAGCCUUUUUAAACCACGAAUACUCUGCAUGUUUGCAUUUCCUGCUGUGCCUUGAAAUGUCCUGCAACAACAGGGUGAUCAAGUUAAGAUCCUACAUCUGUAUGUGGCUACACAUAGUGGCUGUCCUCCUGAGUGGUGUUUUCAGAUUGAGUCAACGCUCCUCUGGUGUCUCUUGGCAGAAUAUUCGAGAUAAGGGCACACAACUCAGACUUCCCAAAAAACAUGGUUGUUGAUAAAGUUUCUGUUAUGUGUGCAUUUUCUCAAGUUCAGACUAGGCCCAAAGUGUCUACUGGUUUUAAUUCUACUUUUACUUCAGCUAUUGACUAAGACAUAGGAAACUAGGUGAGACUUUAAUUAAUCAAUUGAAAAGUAAUUUGCCAAGGAGGAAUGAAAACCUGCAGCCCUGGGGGACAGGAGUUGAAUAAGUUUUGAAGCUGAGUGAAUUCUGCACCUUCACCAUUCUUUUCUGUUAUUUUACAGUUAUUUCUGAGUCAAUUGGCUAGUCCUGGUGUAUAUUGGUAUCAUAAGCUAUAUCAUAAGACAAAGCAGACAAUGCCUGUCUUGCAGCUUAAUGUUGUUUGUAGUUAUUCACACUUCAUUAUGAACUCAACUAGUUGUUCACAUUUCCUUUGAAAGAUUGUCUGAUUCAAAAGAAAAUGUUCCAAUUUGAAUAACAUUUGCAAAAACAAACUGAUUUUGUUUCGUUACUUACAAAUAUCACUAUUCUUGUCGUGGGGAGUGUGUGCAUGGUUAAAUAGCUAACAGUCCGUAGUCAGGGCCAGGAUGUUUUUGAUGACUACAUGAUCUGACUAUAAAAAAAAUGAACAAAGGCCCAAAGUUUUUCUUAGUCAGGUGGCGUGGGUGGGAGAAACUGGCCUUAGUCAUACUGUAUGCAAUUCAUGUCAUCCUUAACACUGUUUCUCAUUGGAGGAGGUGGUUGGCUUCCUUCCUGCUAAUGAAUACUGCUGUCCACUGUGCCUGAACAGUUGGCCUUCUCAAUUUAUUUUCAGAUUCCUCUUAAUCUCUUCUAAAAUGUUCUAUGUAGAAAAGUGCUUGACACGGUCACCCUAUCUUUGCCUUUUUUGUAAUUGACGUGUCCAUACUGUGUGUGUUCAGUAGAACGGGUGUGUGUGGACCUGCCUUUGGCUAAGCUUGUCUUGUCCUGCACCUUGGUACUUUACGAUAAAAAAUUCAAAUCAAUCCCUGAAUAUUAUCCUCUUGGCACUUAUGUAAACCUGAAAGGAUUGGAUAGGUAUAUCAGAGGGCAAGAUGGAGCUAUUACCGAAUUGUGUAUACUGUACCUAUCUGAUCCUUUCAGAUGUACUUGAAGUGUCCAGGAGUUGAUUGGAUUUGAGCAUGUACUGUACCUUUUUUCUUCCCUCAUUUACUUGACACUUAGGACAAGUGCUUCAAAAAGGGAACAGAAAAUUAUAACUAAGUGAAAUAAAAGUAAGAUUUGUCCCAAUUUA